CUUUGAAAUCGUUGGCUUGGAUUAGUGCUGCGAACAUAGCUACGACUCUUAUCAGUCUUCUUAUGUGAACGCUCCACCGAAAGUCGUGGGUUUUCUCCAACUCCGGUUUGCUCCAACAGGAAAUGUUGACAGGAUGCGUUGGGAUAAUUCUAAACUAACCUUUCCAUCGUAGCUGUGUCCGGUGGUGAGACAUGAGUCAUAUAUACGAUGGCCGCCAGAGGCGCCCAGAAUUGAUCAGGUUGAGUUGUGUCCUUCCACUCCUUCCUAUUCAGCUCAGCUCUCAGCUGCAAGUAUGUAGAUUAUCAGCACACCCCCUAUACCUUCCUGAUUAAUUACAAUACUUACACCUUUUUAGUAUCUCAAGUAGAAGAACUAAGGAACUGAAUGACAAGAAGAAAUCAGUAAAGCAUAAAACUCAU
rnacentral:lncRNA from 1 species